CGCCUCUCCGGACUCAGCGCUGCUCUGCUCGGCGGUGCCUGAAAUAGGUUGCCUGUGAGGUGUUCACUUUCUAUACGAUGAAUAUUAUACAGUCAACCUCUUUCCGGUGCCCAAUCCCGCCUGGGACGACUCCGUGCGCGUCGCCGACUCGGCAGCACCGGCCUGUGCCCGGGCGCACCCGGUGGACUCUGUAGGACCCGCGCCGCCUGCCCGUUAGUUUUCGGGGUCCAUUCCGUUCUGGAGGGCUUGUGAGAGCGCGACGGAGUGGCGGUUCCGGAGUCAGCAGUACCGUGGCUGCGUCCUUGCAGGCGGGAGGGUAGCACCGGCUGGGCUCAGCUUCCACCUGCCGGUGCUUAUUUCCCGCUUGCACCCCAGCCCUACUCUGCCUUCAGCGACUGCACAGCCAGCGCCUCCGGAAGCGGCCGCCGCACUGCGGGUGGGAAGGGCUGGGGCGCUUAGCAAGGUGCGCCCCCAGGGCGCCUCCUAACGAUGAGCUGUGGCUGUUCGGUGUUUCUAAUUGUCUUCUGGGCGGCGGGAGGUUCUUUCUGGGCGGGGCUUGCGUCCUCCCCCGCGGUGGGGCACCCCAUCCUUGCCUUGGACGUCUCCGCCCCGCGCCUACUUCUCUGGCCGGGACCCCUGAACAGCCCCGCACUUGGGUCUCCCUCCAGUGCCCCUCCUCUUUCUGCAGAGGAGAACUUUCCAGAGUGCAGUCCAGCUGUCUUUCCUUCCUGCCCGGAGCCCCUGCACAGCCCCCUUCCCUCGGGCUGGCGGCCAAAACUGCACGGAGGACUUCCAACGCCCCCAGGUGGGCCAUCCUCCUCCUCCACCUCGGAAGCCUCGCUGUCUGUCCGGCUUGUUUCUGUCCACUGUCCUCGCCCCUGUCCUCGCCCCUGCUUCCGGGAGGCCCAUCCAGAGGGCCCAGCGCUCCCUUCCCCAGCCCCGUGCCUCUUGCGUACCCCUUUCUCAGGGGUUGGGGGUCCCAAGGGGUGGAAUGGCCCUUGUUGAGCAAGGCUGUCCCUGAGAACCCCGCCAAAAGCAGCCCGGCCCCACCUUCCCUGCCACAUGCUGCCGGUGCCCUGUCAUGUCUCUUCCCAGCUCCUGCUCUCUGAGAGCCUGCUGUCGAAGUCCACCUUCUCCACCCUGCCUGGCACUAUAAGAUUUCUCGGGGCAGGGAUUAAUUAAUUUUUUUUCUGUUUUAUCCUGUGCUGUGUCCCUACCCCCGAAACCCUGGCCAGGCCCACAGUAGCAGAAAGAACAGUGAGUGUUUGUUGAUUGACUAAUGGAGUUCCCAAGGGCAAGGAUGGGAUCAGGUUAAUCCCCAGGAAAGUGCUGGGUGGGAAACAGGUACUCAAUAAGCUGCGGUGACCGAGCCCAUGAAUAUGUUAAUUGGAUUUUAGAAAUUCUUCGCAUUUGUUAAAAGCUGUUUGGUUUUCUAGCUUUUUCCUUGCAGGAUGUCAUUUGAGAGCUAGGGGCUUCUGCAGCAGGGACGGGGUGGGCUGGGUCUGAGUUCUUUUUUUCUUGAGGGUGGGGGGAGGGGCGGGGCCUCGGAAGGGGUGACAGGCCCCAGCGUUUCGCUGCAGAUGUCCGCUGGGCGUGCCCCCGCCCCUCCAGCAGACUCCAUGGCGCUGGGAGCCAGAUGCUCUGGGGAGCUCCAGCUGCAACAGGCUGGAGUGCGGUGUCAGGGCUAAUAUUUUAUGCAUGGAACUGACUAAAUGGGAACAUUUGGAGAUGAAAAUUGCUGUUAAUGCAUCUACACACUUUGGAAUAUAUUAAAUGUAUGUGUGUGGGCAGAACGACAUUAGCCUUGUUUAAUAGCUUCCAUGUAACCGUCUCCAUACCACAGCCUUAGCGGGCAGGCCGCCCCCCGCGUCUCCCAGGACACUGCUGGGGAAGAGCGCUGGGCACAUCACCUGCCACUUGAGCAUUAUGCAUGAGACAAAAUGUCAGCCCGGGCUACCAGGCAUUGGGCAGCGUGCAUGUUCCAAGCCAAAGACGGUGACCCUGCGCCACUCGAUGCGGGAUUUCAUUAAAAGCAAAAUUACUGAGUUAUCUAUUGUUUGAGGAGAAGAAAAAAAAAUAUAAACAAAGGGCCUUUCUCGUUUGAUAAGCCAAAUGAAAAUGUCUGUCCCCCGAGAGGCUGGGAUGGAGGUCUCUGUGGACCCUCUAGCCAGAGGGGCAGUGACUUGGCUCAUCUCCCCGGCCCUGUGUAAGCCCAGCCGCGGGUCCGAGUGCAUGCAGGGAGCACUGUUUUCCAGCACGUGCUGCCUGCAAGUGCUCGCUGAUGGCCACUGUGUCUCUGGGACAUGGCUGGGAAAUUGAGCAAACUGGGUCUGUAGUCCCCUUACUGUUUGCAAGUGGAGAUAAGAAAAACAGUAGAUGCCCUGAAGGACGUUUGCUUUGGUCCUGGCCAGUGGGCAGGUAGGGGGCAGGUUCUGCUUCUCAGAGGAGGAAAUGGAGCCCAGAGAGGUUGAGUGACUCCCCCAAGAUGGCCCAGCAGGAGGCGGGUCAGGGUCUGGCUCCAGGCUGUUAGGAGUCCCCGUGUCCUAGAGCACAGUCAGCUCAUCCAGCCUCUGAAUUCUCCGCAUAGGCAGAUAGGCCCGCUUUCCCCAAAGACUUAGCUUGCCAGAAUGUUCGUUGGUUUUUUUCUCUGUGCCCACCUGAUGCCUGUCCAACAUGGAGCCCUCGCUCAUGAAACGGGAUUCGUUGGCUUGUGUCUGGCCUGGGACAGGGCCCAGUGGGCCAUCUAAGGACCAAAGACCUGCAUGGACAUGUGCCUUUUGCUCCCAUUGACGGCCUUUGAGGGCUGUAUUCGCUGCCUCAGUUGUGUACAAGGACCCAGGGAGGGCGUCUGGAGAGCCAGGGGGAGAGCUGAGCCCGUCCAGCCAUGCUCUGCAGGGCCAGACCCCGCCCCGAUCCGUGCCCGUGUACCACCACCAUGCACAGACUCAGGGCUGCUGUAGUCCAGGAGACCCCAGGGAGCUCACGGUCCUCAUGGCCCUCAAGGAUGCAAAGAACCCCCAAAUGUCAGGGCCGAGUGGGACCCAGAGUUUACUCACCUUGUCCCACCUCUACUCCCGCCCUCAGACAGGGAAGAGAACAUGUCCAUGCAGGGUAGGAUGCUUUGCCGUGGCCUUUGCUCUGAGGAUUGUCUCCAGCUGUGGGGUUAAGACCCCCCACUCUGGGGAAUAAGCAACCUCCUUCUGUGCAAGAACCGAGGCGACUCGGCCCGGGGAGGCUGCAGCGAUGCCAGAUGGGCACCUCGAUCCCAAGGGCACGGGGGUUCAGCCGCCCCAUGGCACAGGUUUCAGGGGCCGGGGCCCUAGGCUCUCAGCCCUGGCUCACAGCAGGUGCUCAGCGAAUGCCUGUCUCCUCGGAUCGAAUCUGGCCACAGACGCCAGCGUAGAGGGAGUAUGGAAUCCGAUCUCUUUAUCACCGGGAGGAAGCCCGAAGAGCGUUUGUGGAGUGAAUAAAUAAAAGCAUGUUCUCUGCAAUGAAGAAGCAAAAAAGGAAGAAGAAUCCGGCAAGACGGACAUAAAUCUCCACCAAGUGCUGCCAAGGCUUCACAGCCGAGGCCGCUGAAAAGACCCUGCAGAGGUAGAGGGGCCAUUUGUCAUGACGGAGACAGGCUUUAGGGCUGAAGAGCGGGGUGCGAUGGAGGCUCGUUCAUCAUUUUCCCAUUAUCGGCGACGUGGAGAGGCGCAGGCGCAUUACCCGCAUGUGUAGCUGCACGGCCAGCCUGUGGGCACCAGGCCCCGGGCUGAGCAAGUGCAGGGCUGGGGGCUGGGGGCUAGGGGUGGGAGGGACCCCGAGGAAGGCCAGGCUGGGCCCAGUGAGCUGGCAGCUCCAGGAGUCCACCUCCUCCAGGAAGCCUUCCCUGAUCCAUCCUCCAUGUGCAGUCAGAUCUCCAUUACUCUCGUGUUUUGAUCAACAGGUCUCUCCCCACCGAGAUUGCAAGCUCCGUGGGGCAGGAACUGUUUUCGAUUUGUUUACCAUGGUACCCCUGUUUCUGGCACAGGAUUUAGUCCAGAGAAGGCGCCCAGUAAUGCUUGUUGGCCUUGUCUUCCCUUUGCAGGUGAGGCUGGACGGGACCCCCGGCAGGUGCUCAGGACACGGACAUCCCAUGGGCAGGGCCUGUGGUUGAUCCCGACUGUGAGCCAAGCACUGGGACAGAGGUGGCCGCACCAGACCACUGCUGCCGGGAGGGGUGUGGCUGUGAGCAGGGGAGCCUGGCCACACCCCGGGGACAUCCUCGAGUCUGCGCAGCUCUGCCUGCCACGGACCCAUCUCGGAGCCUCAGCCUGCCUGUUCCUCCUCUGGAUCUCUCCUGCUUCAGAAGACUCCAGAAUGUUCCGGUUCUCAGAGAAGGCCAAGGCCACCCCUGCCAGCUCCAAGGCUUCUCCCCACCUGGCGAGGAAGCAGGAGAGCGCGGAAGGUGGAGACGCCCCCGCAUCCCCACGUUUUACAGGACAUGAUGGAGCACCCGAGGGCACAGCCCUGGGCAGGACAGACGCAGCCCUGCCGCGGGCCCCGGGGGACGGUGGGCGCAGAGUGAUGGGGGGUGCAAACGAACGGACAUGAUCGAGCAGAUGACACAUGCGCCUCCCCCAGCCAGACAGUGAGCUGGGCAGGGGCGUCAGAAUUCCUGCUUUCCCUUUUCAGACGCUUCGCAUGUUGUCAAGCUUUGAAUAAUAAAUACGCAUUAUAAAAAUGUAAA